rnacentral:rRNA from 1 species
AGUCGAACGAUGAUGCCCAGCUUGCUGGGCGGAUUAGUGGCGAACGGGUGAGUAAUACGUGAGUAACCUGCCCUUGACUCUGGGAUAAGCCUGGGAAACUGGGUCUAAUACUGGAUACUACCUCUUACCGCAUGGUGGGUGGUGGAAAGGGUUUUACUGGUUUUGGAUGGGCUCACGGCCUAUCAGCUUGUUGGUGGGGUAAUGGCUCACCAAGGCGACGACGGGUAGCCGGCCUGAGAGGGUGACCGGCCACACUGGGACUGAGACACGGCCCAGACUCCUACGGGAGGCAGCAGUGGGGAAUAUUGCACAAUGGGCGGAAGCCUGAUGCAGCGACGCCGCGUGAGGGAUGACGGCCUUCGGGUUGUAAACCUCUUUCAGUAGGGAAGAAGCGAGAGUGACGGUACCUGCAGAAGAAGCGCCGGCUAACUACGUGCCAGCAGCCGCGGUAAUACGUAGGGCGCAAGCGUUGUCCGGAAUUAUUGGGCGUAAAGAGCUCGUAGGCGGUUUGUCGCGUCUGCUGUGAAAGCCCGGGGCUCAACCCCGGGUCUGCAGUGGGUACGGGCAGACUAGAGUGCAGUAGGGGAGACUGGAAUUCCUGGUGUAGCGGUGAAAUGCGCAGAUAUCAGGAGGAACACCGAUGGCGAAGGCAGGUCUCUGGGCUGUUACUGACGCUGAGGAGCGAAAGCAUGGGGAGCGAACAGGAUUAGAUACCCUGGUAGUCCAUGCCGUAAACGUUGGGCACUAGGUGUGGGGGACAUUCCACGUUUUCCGCGCCGUAGCUAACGCAUUAAGUGCCCCGCCUGGGGAGUACGGCCGCAAGGCUAAAACUCAAAGGAAUUGACGGGGGCCCGCACAAGCGGCGGAGCAUGCGGAUUAAUUCGAUGCAACGCGAAGAACCUUACCAAGGCUUGACAUUCACCGGACCGCCCCAGAGAUGGGGUUUCCCUUCGGGGCUGGUGGACAGGUGGUGCAUGGUUGUCGUCAGCUCGUGUCGUGAGAUGUUGGGUUAAGUCCCGCAACGAGCGCAACCCUCGUUCUAUGUUGCCAGCACGUGAUGGUGGGGACUCAUAGGAGACUGCCGGGGUCAACUCGGAGGAAGGUGGGGAUGACGUCAAAUCAUCAUGCCCCUUAUGUCUUGGGCUUCACGCAUGCUACAAUGGCCGGUACAAAGGGUUGCGAUACUGUGAGGUGGAGCUAAUCCCAAAAAGCCGGUCUCAGUUCGGAUUGAGGUCUGCAACUCGACCUCAUGAAGUCGGAGUCGCUAGUAAUCGCAGAUCAGCAACGCUGCGGUGAAUACGUUCCCGGGCCUUGUACACACCGCCCGUCAAGUCACGAAAGUUGGUAACACCCGAAGCCGGUGGCCUAACCC